rnacentral:rRNA from 1 species
GAUGAACGCUGGCGGCGUGCCUAAUACAUGCAAGUCGAGCGAACGGACGAGAAUCUUGCUUCGCUGAUGUUAGCGGCGGACGGGUGAUUAACACGUAGAUAACCGACCUAUAAGGCUGGGAUAACUUCGGGAAACCGGAGCUAACACACGAUAAUAUUUUGAACCGCAUGGUUCAUAAGUGAAAGAGCGUCUUGCUGUCACUUAUUGGUGUAUCCUCGCUGCAUUAGCUAGUUGGUACGGUAACGGCUUACCAAGGCUACGAUGCAUAGCCGACCUGAGAGGAUGAUCAGCCACACUGGAACUGAGACACGGUCCAGACUCCUACGGGAGGCAGCAGUAGGGAAUAUUGCGCAAUGGGCGAAAGCCUGACGGAGCAACGCCGCGUGAGUGAUGAAGGUCUUCGGAUCGUAAAACUCUGUUAUUAGGGAAGAACAUAUGUGAAAGUAACCCUGGAUGUCUUGACGGUACCUAAACAGAAAGCACCGGCUAACUACGUG